rnacentral:lncRNA from 1 species
CUAAAGAGGAAGAUGAUUCAAAAGAUUAGUUCUCACUAUGGCUCUCGAAACCCGCCAUUAGAGGCACAGAGGAUAAAAGAAAAAGACGAUCAAACUAAAGAAAUGAAAAAAAAAAAGCAAAAAAAAGAAGGAAACCAACCUGCAGUGAUGCAAUAUAGGAGCAGAAGAUGGUGAUUCCAUAAGAGAUAAGGGUGAUGAUCCCAAAGAAAGUUAUCGACGAUCAAAAAAAUCUUGAAACAGAGAAGACAACUGGAAGGGAAGAAGAAGAGUUUGGAAAUAUACGAAAAGAAGGCAGAGGACACCGUCUCCGUUUAUAGACGUAGAAAAUUGGAACCGUCCGGUUAUCAAAUCUUACCCAGCUAUGGAUAAUUGACAUAUGGCAUAACCUCAUCAGCAAUAGAGAGGCAUCAGUCGACUCAUUAAUGGUUUAUGCGAGAAACAAGGUGUGCCAUUUUUUUAAUCCUGUUGACUGCUCCUUGGUCAUAAUUACAGGCUGACGUGACUAUUUGAUCCACCCAAGAAUCAUAAGCGCCAUUUCUGUGAAGAAGGCAGCGAGCAGCAUGUCUUCGAUAAAUCAAGACUCGAGUACUCUCUUCAUCAAAAUCGAACUCGAAAAUAGGGAGGCAUGUGUUAGGGGGAUAUUCAUCUCUUGGGCCGAAGACAUGAAUUAGCAGAGAGGCAGGUGAUGUAACCUGAAUCUAGCUUCAGCUUCUGACGAUCCCUGGCUUCUGGUACUCCCGCUUAAGCUAAACAUCUGGUAUUAGCCGAUCCUAGCUUCGGCUUUAUUCCAACUCUGACCUUAUCUUGACUUAGACCUCAUGCCUAUCUCAGUUUUUUUAGUAAUCAACAUUCAUCAUCUAUCCAACACCUACAGGUGGCCGAACAUCUGAACUAGC